rnacentral:tRNA from 1 species
GGUGGAUUCGUAUAACGGUUAGUACUCAAGAUUCUCAAUCUUGCAAUAGGGGUUCGAUUCCCCUAUCCACUACCA